GUUUGGGGUUUGAAUGUGGAGGCAGUUCUGAUUUCCCACUGAUUUUGCCCACCAAACCCAAAAUUAUCCUGCUUACGUAUCUCAGGAAGCGUGUUAGUGGUCUGCAUAUCUACUGCAGCUCUGGGGACCUCAGUGCCACAGGUCUCUGAAGGCCACAGUGCUCCAGCUCUGGUCCGGUCCCACAGCUCCUUGGGUUCCUAAGCCUUCAGCUUCCUCUUUGGAAUGCUGGAAAAGUCCUCAUGAACUACCAGACCCUGUCGAGUGCAGGCUUCCAUCAGCCGGCGUAGCCCACCUUGCCACUCCCUGGUGCUCAAGCCUGCACCUUAAGUCUGGAAUCUCGAGGAGUCUGUGGUUCUCAGUGCUGACCAUGAAGAAUGAGCAGUACCACAUCACAUGGCACAAGGAGGAAACAUCCACACACCCCCUGUGAAGAGAUGUCCCCAGUUCUCUCAGAGCCCUUUGCUUCCUUUAUCAUCGAUGGAAAAUUGAUGUUUGGAGACAAUUAAAGUUUCUGUUUGGUUGUCUGACACCUGUUUUUUCCUUG
ensembl:lncRNA